AACGAACGCUGGCGGCAUGCCUAACACAUGCAAGUCGAACGAGACCUUCGGGUCUAGUGGCGCACGGGUGCGUAACGCGUGGGAACCUGCCCUUAGGUUCGGAAUAACUCCCCGAAAGGGGUGCUAAUACCGGAUCAUGUCUUCUGACCAAAGAUUUAUCGCCUUUGGAUGGGCCCGCGUUGGAUUAGCUAGUUGGUAGGGUAAAAGCCUACCAAGGCGACGAUCCAUAGCUGGUCUGAGAGGAUGAUCAGCCACACUGGGACUGAGACACGGCCCAGACUCCUACGGGAGGCAGCAGUGGGGAAUAUUGGACAAUGGGCGAAAGCCUGAUCCAGCAAUGCCGCGUGAGUGAUGAAGGCAUUAGGGUUGUAAAGCUCUUUUACCCGGGAUGAUAAUGACAGUACCGGGAGAAUAAGCUCCGGCUAACUCCGUG
rnacentral:rRNA from 1 species